rnacentral:rRNA from 1 species
GGGGACUGCCGGAUAGUUCAUGAGGUUUUGGCCCUCUCAAAAGCCAAUAACCCCAAGCUAGUCUUUCUUUGUGGGACUAGGAAGGAUUCAGCUAAGGUGGAGAAGCUAAAGUGGCGACUUGGUUUAAAAGGAUUCCAUGGUGUCAGUAGUGAUGGACGGAGUGGUAGUCUAGCUCUGUUCUGGGAUGAGUCUCUUUCGGUUACGGUGCUAGAAUCUUGUAACAGGUUCAUCGAUGUUCGUGUGCAUGAUGGUGGUUCUGGUGUUCUUUGGAGAGGCACAUUCGUAUAUGGGGAGCCGAGGGUGGAAAAUCGACAAUGUAUGUGGGACCAUUUAUGCCGGCUGCGAUCGGUCUCGCGUGAACCAUGGGUUGUCUGUGGGGACUUCAAUGAAGCACUCUGGCAGCAUGAGCAUCUUUCAAGAAUGAUGCAUGCAGAGGCACAAAUGGCUGCAUUCAGAGAUUGUUUACAAACUUGCGAGCUGGAGGAUCUCGGGUUCUUCGAUCUACCGUUCACAUACAAUAACGGCCAGGCUGGGUACCGCAAUGUUCAACUUCACCUUGAUCGUGUGGUUGUUGAUGAAGCAUUACGUGAUGUCUUCCCGGCAGCUCAGGUGCGUCACCUUGUCACCUCCUGUUCGGGCCAUACUCCCCUGCUGAUUAACUUGGAAGGGGUGUAG